CAGUUUUUCUACCAAAAUCGGUAUGGUUAAAAUGUGAUAUUAAGUUACUACAAACAAUAAUUUAAUUACAAAUACAAAAUGUUGCAGAAUAAUGUAAUAUAUGAAUAGCCUAAAGAACCAAAAGGGUUCUUUUUUGUCAUUAUAGAACCUUUUUAGAAUAAAAGGUUCUUUGGAGUUGAGUAAAAAACCCUAUGGUUCUAUAUAUAACCCCAAUGAACCCUUUUUUCUAAGAGUGUGGUGAACCAAGCGGUUCGAAUUUUUCAGUGAACCGUCCCAUCCCUAGUAAAUAUAAAUGACCAGCUCCCUGGCGAACAUGGAUGGGAUUUUGCAGCAAUUUGCUGCGUCUGUUGCCAGGGCUUUUCUCCUUUUUUAUUCGUUCCGUCUCUUCUCCUCCUUUGCAUUUACGGCUCCAUUUUUUGCGCGAUUUUCUAAGAUAAAGCAUGCCUCUGGAUAUAGCCAAUUAGGCAGUGCUUCGCUGAUCGACUCCACAGCGGCAGCCAGCAGGUCAGAAUGACCGUCAGGCCACUGGGAAAUGUCCCGGUGCUCUCGGUGGCCAGUCCGCCCCUGGUAUAGACUAUAGGAAUGCUUCACAUAAUACUGUACAUGUGCAAAGGAGUGACUGAAACAGAGGAAGUGUUUGUUGGAAGGUUACACCUGACAUGGGGAUCACCGUUGAACAAUGGAGGCAGAGAAUAGGACGGUAUUCUCAGCCAGCGUCCAAAGAAAAGGUCAAGAUAGCCACAAUAAAACUCCAUAACGGCGUGUUUGCGGGCGGACUGCGGCUAGCGGUAGCAAUCUGCCUUCUUUUAAUCUUAGCGGGCGAUGUGGAGGAAAAUCCCGGUCCCGCGAGAGGCAAGCGUGGUGUCGUAGACACAACGUUUAGGCCGGAGAGAACAACGCGGCAAACAACACUGUUUGGAGCGACAGGUGGUUUAGAACCAAACGAACCUCACACUCUCACGCAGAUUGAAUCACUUCAUAAAGAAGUCAUGGAUUUAAAAGAGUUGGUGGAAAAGUUUGUGGAAACAGUGGAGAGACUUGAACAGGAAAAUGCCGAACUUCAGGAGAGGUAUGAUCGCAUGGAAAACCAAAGCAGGCGGGAUAACCUUGUCUUUUAUGGUAUCCCAGAAUCGGAUCGGGAAACAUGGGAAGAGAGUGAGAAAAAGAUACGGGAACACGCGGCUGAAUACUUUGGUGUGGAAAGAGCCAAAAGCGACGAGGAACUACCGAUUGAACGCGCUCACCGGGUUGGGAAAAGAUCGCAUGGGAGAGCAAGGCCGGUGGUGGUUCGUUUCACAAGGUGGAAAGACAAGGAAGAGAUUCUACACAAGGCAAGACAAAAAACUCGGGAAUGGCGUGAACGAAGUAGUGAAGAUGAAGUAAACAAUCGAAUUAGGGUGUCAGAGGACUUCAGUGCUCGUGUGCGUGAGAUACGGAGAAAGUUGGUUAACUACAUGCAAACUCUACGACAAACUCAACCAAACACACGGAUGUCACUUCGUUUCGACAAAUUAUUUGUGGACGGUAAAAUGUUAACUUAUGACACAGAGUCGGAGUCCGUGAUUGAAAUUGAAACGAAUAAAGAAAGACCAUCUGAAACUUUCGUAAGCUGA
ensembl:lncRNA